UCCUAGAGCAUACUUCUACAAAUCUAGAUGGUAGAGCCUACUGUACAUGUAGGCUAUAUAGAAUAGCCUAUGACUACAGCAUGCUACUGUACUGAAUACCAUAGGCAAUUGUAACACAAUGGGCUCAAUACUCAAGUUUCAAGGCUGCCUCUCCCCACCGAAGACUGGCUUGCCGGCGGCAGUGGAAGGAAGGGGAACCGAAGACAGGACGACAUGGCUGGCCAGGCCAGCUCUGGCUGUAACUGUCAUGUGACAGACCAAGCAAUAUCAAAGAACUAGAGUUCUCAGAGCAAGAAAUGUCACUGGAGCAAGAACUAGCAGAGGGAGUCACAGAUAGGGAACACCCAAUAAUUCCAGACGGCUACUGUGUGCAGAGUGAACUUCCAGAGUUGUGAAGUCCUGACCCACGUGGCCCUGCCGCCAACUUCAAUCCACACAGCCCUCCAUUUUGCUAACUGUCCUCCAGUCACACAGGCCUCCUGUCAGUUCCCAAAUAGGUGGACCUCCUUCCUAACACAAGCCAUUGCACAUGCUGCUCCUUCAACCUGGAGCGCUCAUCCUUGCCUUCCCUUGCCAAAUCCC